CCCUUAGAUGUUCUGGGCUGCACGCGCGCUACACUGAUGCAUGCAACGAGUUUUCGACCUUGCCUGAAAAGGUUGGGUAAUCUGUUUAACAUGUGUCGUGAUGGGGAUAGACCAUUGCAAUUAUUGAUCUUCAACGAGGAAUUCCUAGUAAGCGCGAGUCAUCAGCUCGUGCUGAUUAUGUCCCUGCCCUUUGUACACACCGCCCGUCGCUCCUACCGAUUGGGUGUGCUGGUGAAAUGUUCGGAUCGGCCGUUUGUCGCGGUUUCCGCGGCUCGUGGCUGAGAAGUUCAUUAAACCCUCCCACCUAGAGGAAGGAGAAGUCGUAACA
rnacentral:rRNA from 1 species